GAACACACUGAGCAAGGGGCCUUAAUGAGCGGCAGGAGGACUGUGAGCUAGCCAGAAAGCUCGCCUCUCCUUCCUCCUGGUUUUAGAGGAUUCUCUAAUAAGGGCAUAACUGGGAGAAAAAGGAGAGAAACUCAACUCAGGGUAACAGCAGGAGUCCCCCAGCGAUCUUCUAAGCAGCUUCCCCAGAAGGCCUCCAGCCAUUCCUGGGACCGGAAGACUUAAUGAGCACAGCCCUCUAUGCCUGUGGGGCUGAACACCACCACUAAAGCCGCCUUCACUCGGGUCCCUGCCCUCGGUGAUCAGCUGGCCACUCCGAGAAGCAGAAAACGGAGGAAUUCUUGGCAGCCUUGACCCUGCUGUUGCUUGAUGAGAUAAAUAUAUCCACUUUGUCUUAUGGAAGGGGGUCACUGAAAUGUAGGUAGCUCAAGAUGCUAACAAGAUGAACUUAAAUUUCGUUUCUAGAACAAAUGNNNNNNNNNNNNNNNUGCUACACCCUCUUUAUACAGUGCUAGAAAGAGAACUCACGGCUUCAUCCUCUAUAGCUGAGCUCCGUCUCUGACCCUGGAAGAUUCUAUUGCACCAGGCCACAAAGAAAGAAAUCACAAGAACAGGCGGCUGCCACUCCCAAACGUGGACCAGCCCCUCAAGAUGACCUACCAAAGUCCUGGCCACACAGAAAAUAUCACAUCCCUGGGAUUUGCUGUGGGGAAGCUACACAGACUUUCUGGAGCUCCAUCCUGGACCAUAAACAGAGGGCAUCUUUAUCUAGGCCUAGGAUGUCCGUAGGAGUUUCCAUGACCACAUGCAGUCACUGAAGAGGGUCAAGAGAGUGAAUGACCAUAAGUUACUCACAACCAACAGGGGAAGAAGCUGACAGAGCAUCCGGCAUGGAAGUCAAUUUGAAAGGAGUCCCACUAACAAAAACGGAAAAAGAAAAAUCUAUCAUCGAAGAAAUUACAUCACAGCCAGGCAAGAUUUAGCAGGAGCAGUUCACCAUUGCUCCACAUGGUGGCAGCUGAGUGGCUUGAUCACAAGGACUCCUGGGUUCAUUUCCAAGAUGGCUGCUUCCCAGGAACGACAAAUGGAUGCUGAACUAUCAGCUGAGGAUUCUUCUCCACGGGUAUCUCUUGGGCUCCCUCAAAGAGACGAAACAGGAUUCCAAGAGACAGAAAGGGAUGAUGUCACACACCUGAGAUGUAAGGGGUUAAAUCCCAUAUCCUGAGGAGGAAAGCCCCAAACAGACUCAAAGGGGCAAUGAAAUGACUUUGCCUCUCCAGGCAGAAUGACAAAGAAUGUCCAUCUGUCUUUAAUCCAUUCUCUCUUUUCUAUUGUUCAUUUCUCUCUUGUUCUAUUGUUUUUAACAAAGCUUGAGUCCAGAUGUGUAUUUCUUUACCAGAAGUGGUGGCAAGACAGGUGCAAACCUGUGAAAAUGGCAUUUAGUGCUAGGAAGUGGUUCAGAGAUGAUGUCUUCUGUAGGGACAGAAGUUAUUCAAUUAUGGUGCAACCAUAUGAAAAUUUUAUGACACAAAUUUUCCAGUAGAAGCUAAAAAUUUGGCAUUUUGAAUUAAACCUAAGUUCUUGGCUCA
ensembl:lincRNA 8430437L04Rik RIKEN cDNA 8430437L04 gene